rnacentral:tRNA from 1 species
AAAUAAGAAGCAAAAUCUUGCAUUUAGUUUCGACCUAAAAGUUUGAUCGUCACGAUCCUUAUUUA